GACGUAGGGUGCGAACGUUGUCCGGAAUUAUUGGGCGUAAAGAGCUCGUAGGCGGUUUGUCGCGUCUGCUGUGAAAACCCGAGGCUCAACCUCGGGCCUGCAGUGGGUACGGGCAGACUAGAGUGCGGUAGGGGAGAUUGGAAUUCCUGGUGUAGCGGUGGAAUGCGAAGAUAUCAGGAGGAACACCAAUGGCGAAGGCAGAUCUCUGGGCCGUAACUGACGCUGAGGAGCGAAAGCAUGGGGAGCGAACAGG
rnacentral:rRNA from 1 species